GGAGGUGGCAAGCGUUGUUCGGAUUUAUUGGGUGUAAAGGGUGUGUAGGUGUCCUUAUAAGUCGGGUGUGAAAUCCUUCAGCUCAACUGAAGAAUUGCGCUCGAAACUGCAAGGAUUGAGUGUAUGAGAGGAGAGGGGAAUUCUUGGUGUAAGGGUGAAAUCUGUAGAUAUCAAGAAGAACACCGGCGGCGAAGGCGCCUCUCUGGCAUACAACUGACACUGAAACACGAAAGCGUGGGUAGCAAACAGGAUUAGAUACCCUGGUAGUCCACGCCGUAAACGAUGUGCACUAGGUGUGCCCUGUCAAAGGGGCGUNNNNNNNNNAACGCAUUAAGUGCACCACCUGGGGAGUACGUCGGCAA
rnacentral:rRNA from 1 species